rnacentral:snoRNA from 1 species
UGGAAAUGAUGAAACACCCAGCUCAUUGAUUUACAAUGAUACCUUUUAGUUCCUAUAUUCUGAUCCAGAU